rnacentral:rRNA from 1 species
UACGUAGGGGGCGAGCGUUGUCCGAAUUCACUGGGCGUAAAGCGCGCGUAGGCGGGUUUUUAAGUUGGGGGUGAAAUGCCGGAGCUCAACUCCGGAACUGCCUCCAAAACUGGAAGCCUUGAGGUAUGGAGGGGGAAGUGGAAUUCCUGGUGUAGCGGUGAAAUGCGUAGAUAUCAGGAGGAACACCCGUGGCGAAGGCGGCUUCCUGGCCAUAUCCUGACGCUGAGGUGCGAAAGCUAGGGGAGCGAACGGG